GAGAACGGACAGUACUCGAACAAGCAGCCCCGGCUAACUACGUGCCAGCAGCCGCGGUAAUACGUAGGGGGCGAGCGUUAUCCGGAAUUACUGGGUGUAAAGGGUGUGCAGGCGGCAUUGCAAGUUUGAUGUGAAACCCCGGGGCUUAACUCCGGGCAUGCAUCGAAAACUACAGAGCUAGAGUACAGGAGAGGAAAGCGGAAUUCCUAGUGUAACGGUGAAAUGUGUAGAUAUUAGGAAGAACACCAGUGGGCGAAGGCGGCUUUCUGGACUGAAACUGACGCUGAGACACGAAAGCGUGGGGAGCAAACAGGAUUAGAUACCCUGGUAGUCCACGCUGUAAACGAUGAAUACUAGGUGUCGGGGCCGUAGGCCUCGGUGCCGCAGUUAACGCAAUAAGUAUUCCACCUGGGGAGUACGGCCGCAAGGCUGAAACUCAAAGGAAUUGACGGGGGCCCGCACAAGCGGUGGAGCAUGUGGAUUAAUUCGACGCAACGCGAAGAACCUUACCAGGCUUUGACAUCCCUCUGAAUACUGUAGAGAUAUGGUAGGCCUUCGGGACAGAGGAGACAGGUGGUGCAUGGUUGUCGUCAGCUCGUGUCGUGAGAUGUUGGGUUAAGUCCCGCAACGAGCGCAACCCUUAUUGACAGUAGCCAGCACGUAGUGGUGGGCACUCUGUUAAGACUGCCGGGGAUAACUCGGAGGAAGGUGGGGAUGACGUCAAAUCAUCAUGCCCCUUAUAGCCUGGGCUUCACACGUGCUACAAUGGUUGUCACAAAGAGAAGCGAACCCGCGAGGGAGAGCAAAGCUCAAAAAGGCAGUCUCAGUUCGGAUUGCAGGCUGCAACCCGCCUGCAUGAAGCUGGAAUCGCUAGUAAUCGCGAAUCAGCAUGUCGCGGUGAAUACGUUCCCGGGCCUUGUACACACCGCCCGUCACACCAUGGGAGUUUAGAGCACCCGAAGUCAGUGAGGUAACCGCAAGGAGCCAGCUGCCGAAGGUGAGCUAAGUAACUGGGGUGAAGUCGUAACAAGGUAA
rnacentral:rRNA from 1 species